rnacentral:sRNA from 12 species
CCUGUGGAAUGUUAUAGCAAACGAGAGUAGCGAGCAAGUGGCAAAAUCGGAACACGUAGAAACAGGAA